AACGUAGGUUCCGAGCGUUAUCCGGAUUUACUGGGCGUAAAGCGUGUUCAGGCGGCUCAGCAAGUCGGGCAUGAAAUCUCUCGGCUCAACCGGGAGAGGCUGUCCGAUACUGCUGGGCUUGAGGGCAGUAGAGGGUGGUGGAAUUCCGGGUGUAGUGGUGAAAUGCGUAGAUAUCCGGCGGAACACCAGUGGCGAAAGCGGCCACCUGGACUGUACCUGACGCUCAAACACGAAAGCUAGGGGAGCGAACGGG
rnacentral:rRNA from 1 species